rnacentral:lncRNA from 1 species
AUCUAGAUCUCCCACAUGUGUGGCAGGGGUUCAAGUAUUUGGGCCUUCUUCCACUGCUUUUUAGGCACAUUAGCUGGAAAUUAGAUAGGAAUCAGAGCAGCUGGAACUCUAACCUGCACUGACUUGAGAUACUAGCAUUGCAAGCAGUGGCUUAACCUGCUGCACCAUAGCAUCAGGCUCUGUACUUAUUCUUGACUAACACACACUAUUACAUUUCCUUUGUGUUACAAACAGUUCGCUGAUUUAUUAAUAUAAAUAUUCAGACCUGAGGAGUAGCCAAAGCAUCCAACUUGACUCAAGGUUUGUGGUAGGACUAUUUCUAAGAGUGACCCUCGGUCUUGUACACAUUGCUUCCCGCUGAAUGCAGUUGAAACCAGCCAAUGUGCAGGCCCAGAGGAAUGUUAUGAAGAUGCUCCAUGAAUUUCCCAGAAGUAUUUACAAACAGACAUAUGGUUGCCUCUGGGAAUUGAGGAAAUGUUCACGUGUAGAAGUCAGAAGAAGACAGAGAAAAAUCUUGUUCAAGGCUUGGUACCAUACCAUUGGGCUGUUGGCUAGGGAAUCGUUAUGCAGUUGGAGCAAAGAGAAGACUAUUGAGAGCAGGGGGAGUGGGAGUAGCAAGUAAAGGGGAUUCUCAAUGAGCCCUGGAAACCUGGAAAUUGAUCUGAUCCUCAAAGAGUUGCUGAUUGUCAGUAUGAAACAAUAUUUUGGUUUCAAUACAGUAUUGUAUUUGCACAGAAUGCUGCACUGUUUAGAAGUCUUUUGACUGCAAGUGACAGAAAGUAAAUUUAAAUAGUUUAAACCAAAAGGGGAAUUUGUUGGUUCACAUUGCCUAGGAGAUAGGUUCAGCUCAUAGGACUGAAGUUAUAGACUAGCACACAGGGUCUCAAGAAGUGGAACAAAGCACUUGAUCACAGUGUCAUUCUCUGACUCUUGCUACCAUCACCAUCCAUACAACCAGUUAUGUCUCAUUUUACACAUGCUUGACAGUUCUGCAGAUAGUUUCUCCAAAUGGCAACGUUCAGUCGAUGCAGUGGACAGAAUUUAUUUGCCCCUGCAUGCAUAUGAUAAUCCAAUGCAGGAAAAUUGCCUGGCCUGUUGAAUCAUCUUGUCCUCCCUUAACAUGGUCUAGAGAAAGAGGUAUUAUUUGGUUAGGCAGAGGUCAUGUGCCCAUACCUGUGGGUGACAUUUGAAGGUGAGGAGAAGGUAUUAUUUAUGUAAUAAAGGGUAGAAGAGUUUGCUGGGCA